UACGUAGGGGGCUAGCGUUGUCCGGAAUCAUUGGGCGUAAAGCGCGUGUAGGCGGUCCGGUAAGUCCGCUGUGAAAGUCGGGGGCUCAACCCUCGAAUGCCGGUGGAUACUGUCGGGCUAGAGUACGGAAGAGGCGAGUGGAACUCCUGGUGUAGCGGUGGAAUGCGCAGAUAUCAGGAAGAACACCAACGGCGAAGGCAGCUCGCUGGGACGGAACUGACGCUAAGGCGCGAAAGCGUGGGGAGCGAACAGG
rnacentral:rRNA from 1 species